GACGUAGGGGCCGAGCGUUGUCCGGAGUUACUGGGCGUAAAGCGCGCGCAGGCGGCCUGGCAAGCCCGCCGUGAAAGCCCCCGGCUCAACCGGGGAGGGUCGGCGGGGACUGGCAGGCUUGAGGGGGGCAGAGGCCGGUGGAAUGCCCGGUGUAGUGGUGAAAUGCGUAGAGAUCGGGCGGAACACCCGUGGCGAAGGCGGCCGGCUGGGCCGACCCUGACGCUGAGGCGCGAAGGCGUGGGGAGCGAACGGG
rnacentral:rRNA from 1 species